rnacentral:misc_RNA from 1 species
UAAUCAGCAACGGUUUACGUUUUAUAGAGUUAAAUUUUGCUUCCGCUACUGACGAGGACCAAUAUUCUCCAAUUGGAUUUGAUGUCAUAUUCCCUGGCAUGCUUGAAUAUGCUCAACACUUAUCUUUGAAGCUUCAUUUAGAAUCAGGAGUCUUUAAUGAACUGCUUCAUAAAAGGGCUAUCCAGCUCACAAGGCCGUAUGACAGCAGCUCGUUGGAGCUUAAUGCUUACCUCGCUUAUGUGUCAGAGGGGAUUGGAGAACUUCAAGACUGGAAAAUGGUUAUGAAAUAUCAGAGGAAGAACGGUUCACUAUUCAAUUCACCAUCUACUACAGCUGCUUCUCUUAUUCACCUUCAUGAUUCUGGUUGCCUCGAUUACCUUCGCGGUGCAUUGAAAAAGUUUGGGAAUGCUGUUCCAACUAUCUAUCCAAUAAAUAUACAUGCAAGCCUUUGUAUGGUCGAUGAUCUCAAAAAACUAGGAAUUUGUCGGCAUUUUUCUGAGGAAAUUCAGAAUGUAUUGGAUGAAACGUACAGAUGCUGGCUGCAGGGGGAGGAUGAAAUCUUCACAAGUGCUGGCACUUGUUCAAUGGCAUUCAGGAUAUUGCGCGGAUAUGGAUAUAAUGUCUCCUCUGAUCCUGUAGCUCAGUUUCUGGAGCAAGAGCAAUAUAGUGGGCAUUUGAAUGACAUACAUACUAUGUUGGAUUUAUAUCAAGCUUUAGAAAUGAUUAUUGCUACAGACAAACCAGUUUCAAUGAAAUUGAACUCAUCAUCCUUACAAUCAUUGAUACAGAGACUAUCAGAUGAGUUUUAUCCUCCAAACGGACUCACCAAACAGAUCCGUGAACAGGUGGAUGAUGUUCUUAAGUUUCCUUCUCAUGCGAACAUAAAACGGGUAGCCAACAGGAGAAAUAUAAAGCACUAUGAUGUAGAUAAUACAAGAGUCCUGAAAACUUCAUAUAGUUCAUCAAAUUUUGGCAACAAAGAUUUCUUAACCCUGGCGGUAGAAGACUUCAACCUUUGCCAAUCUAUCCACCGCAACGAAUUAAAACAACUUGAGAGGUGGUUAACGCAAAACAGAUUGGACAAGCUGAAGUUCGUCAGAGAGAGAUCUGCAUACUGCUACUUUUCUGCUGCAGCCACAAUUUUUCAACCUGAACUAUCUGAUGCCCGCAUGUCAUGGGCCAAGAAUGGUGUACUUACUACAGUGAUUGAUGAUUUCUUUGAUGUAGGAGGUUCUAUGGAAGAAUUGAACAACCUAAUUCUGUUGUUUAAGAAGUGGGAUGUAGAUGUUAGCACUGAUUGCUGUUCGGAGAGAGUAGGCAUUAUAUUUUCGGCGCUUCACAGUACUAUAAGUGAGAUUGGAGACAAAGCAUCUAAGUGGCAAGCACGUAGUGUUACAAGACACAUAACUGAUAUUUGGUUAAAUCUACUGAAUGCUAUGUUAAGAGAAGCUGAAUGGGCUAAAGAUAUGUCGGUGCCAUCAUUGGACAAAUAUAUGGCCAACGGUUAUGUAUCAUUUGCCCUAGGACCAAUUUUCCUUCCGGCACUUUAUUUUGUUGGACCCAAACUCCCAGAUGAUGUUGUGCAACAUCCUGAAUACCACAGUUUAUUCGAGUUAGUGAGCACCUGCGGACGUCUUCUUAAUGACAUCAGGAGUUUUGAGAGAGAGUCGAAGGAUGGAAAACUUAAUGCUGUAACCUUGAGCGUCACUCAUGGAAAUGGCAGAAUAAGUGAGGAAGCAGCCAUUGAAGGAUUGAGUCACAGAGUUGAAAUGCAAAGGAAAGAACUCCUGAAAUUGGUUUUGCAAAGAGAGGGCAGCGUAGUUCCAAAUGCUUGCAAGGAUUUGUUUUGGGAAAUGAGCAAAGUGUUGCAUCAAUUUUACAUCAAGGACGAUGGUUUCAGUUCAAUGGGGAUGGCCGAUACUGUGAAUGCAAUUAUUCAUGAACCUAUAACUCUUAACUACCUUGGGGAUUCAAAACUAAUUACUGAUUACAAUUAAGAGGUCUCAAACCCUUAGAUUUCGUGCUCACCUUAGCCAGUGCAUCCACAGCCAUUUCUGUUUUAUUGUGCAUACAGGUUAAUAUCAUGGCCUUUCUUGUAAUUUUUUGGUGUUACUAUGUGGUGUGUGAGCAUGGACACUCCAGCAUAUGUCUGCUACUGAUUUCGAGCAUGUCAUCUUGAUUUGAUGGAACUUGAUAGCUGUACAUGUCCCUUCCGUCCUUGGAAGCAAGGCUUUCAUGGGUACUUACACCUAUAAA